CCUACGGGGGGCAGCAGUGAGGAAUAUUGGUCAAUGGGCGGAAGCCUGAACCAGCCAAGUAGCGUGCAGGAUGACGGCCCUACGGGUUGUAAACUGCUUUUAUACGGGAAUAACGCGCCUUACGUGUAGGGCUUUGCAUGUACCGUAUGAAUAAGGACCGGUUAAUUCCGUGCCAGCAGCCGCGUUAAUACGGGAGGUCCGGGCGUUAUCCGGAUUUUUUGGGUUUAAAGGGGGCGUAGGCCGCAUGUCAAGCGUGCUGUGAAAUGUCCGGGGUGAACCCGGGCCGUGCAGCGCGAACUGGCGUGCUUGAGUCCGCGGAAGGCAGGCGGAAUUCGUCGUGUAGCGGUGAAAUGCUUAGAUAUGACGCAGAACCCCGAUUGCGAAGGCAGCUUGCUGCAGCGGAACUGACGCUGAUGCUCGAAAGCGCGGGUAUCGAACAGGAUUAGAUACCCUUGUAGUC
rnacentral:rRNA from 1 species